AACGACUCUCGGCAACGGAUAUCUUGGCUCACGCAUCGAUGAAGAACGUAGCAAAAUGCGAUACUUGGUGUGAAUUGCAGAAUCCCGUGAACCAUCGAGUUUUUGAACGCAAGUUGCGCCCAAAACCAUCCGGUUGAGGGCACGCCUGCCUGGGCGUCACGC
rnacentral:rRNA from 1 species